UGAGUAAGUACAGGGGCAGAUGCUCCAAGAGU
rnacentral:piRNA from 1 species